rnacentral:rRNA from 1 species
ACGGCAGCACGGAGCUUGCUCUGGUGGCGAGUGGCGAACGGGUGAGUAAUAUAUCGGAACGUACCCUAGAGUGGGGGAUAACGUAGCGAAAGUUACGCUAAUACCGCAUACGAUCUAAGGAUGAAAGUGGGGGAUCGCAAGACCUCAUGCUCGUGGAGCGGCCGAUAUCUGAUUAGCUAGUUGGUAGGGUAAAAGCCUACCAAGGCAUCGAUCAGUAGCUGGUCUGAGAGGACGACCAGCCACACUGGAACUGAGACACGGUCCAGACUCCUACGGGAGGCAGCAGUGGGGAAUUUUGGACAAUGGGCGAAAGCCUGAUCCAGCAAUGCCGCGUGAGUGAAGAAGGCCUUCGGGUUGUAAAGCUCUUUUGUCAGGGAAGAAACGGUGAGAGCUAAUAUCUCUUGCUAAUGACGGUACCUGAAGAAUAAGCACCGGCUAACUACGUGCCAGCAGCCGCGGUAAUACGUAGGGUGCAAGCGUUAAUCGGAAUUACUGGGCGUAAAGCGUGCGCAGGCGGUUUUGUAAGUCUGAUGUGAAAUCCCCGGGCUCAACCUGGGAAUUGCAUUGGAGACUGCAAGGCUAGAAUCUGGCAGAGGGGGGUAGAAUUCCACGUGUAGCAGUGAAAUGCGUAGAUAUGUGGAGGAACACCGAUGGCGAAGGCAGCCCCCUGGGUCAAGAUUGACGCUCAUGCACGAAAGCGUGGGGAGCAAACAGGAUUAGAUACCCUGGUAGUCCACGCCCUAAACGAUGUCUACUAGUUGUCGGGUCUUAAUUGACUUGGUAACGCAGCUAACGCGUGAAGUAGACCGCCUGGGGAGUACGGUCGCAAGAUUAAAACUCAAAGGA